rnacentral:snoRNA from 1 species
UGCUAUGAUGAUUGUGCUCAGACUAGAGUCUCUGACCCUCAUGGUGAUGCUCAUUGAAGCCCUGAGCA